rnacentral:rRNA from 1 species
GUGGCGGACGGGUGAGUAAUGCUUGGGGAUCUGGCUUAUGGAGGGGGAUAACGACGGGAAACUGUCGCUAAUACCGCGUAAUGUCUAAGGACUAGAGGGUGGGACUUUCGGGCCACCUGCCAUAAGAUGAGCCCAAGUGGGAUUAGGUAGUUGGUGGGGUAAAGGCCUACCAAGCCGACGAUCUCUAGCUGGUCUGAGAGGAUGACCAGCCACACUGGAACUGAGACACGGUCCAGACUCCUACGGGAGGCAGCAGUGGGGAAUAUUGCACAAUGGGGGGAACCCUGAUGCAGCCAUGCCGCGUGGAUGAAGAAGGCCUUCGGGUUGUAAAGUUCUUUCGGUGAUGAGGAAGGGUGAUGUUUUAAUAGAGCAUUACAUUGACGUUAGUCACAGAAGAAGCACCGGCUAACUCCGUGCCAGCAGCCGCGGUAAUACGGAGGGUGCGAGCGUUAAUCGGAAUGACUGGGCGUAAAGGGCACGCAGGCGGUGACUUAAGUGAGAUGUGAAAGCCCCGAGCUUAACUUGGGAAUUGCAUUUCAUACUGGGUGGCUAGAGUAUUUUAGGGAGGGGUAGAAUUCCACGUGUAGCGGUGAAAUGCGUAGAGAUGUGGAGGAAUACCGAAGGCGAAGGCAGCCCCUUGGGAAAAUACUGACGCUCAUGUGCGAAAGCGUGGGGAGCAAACAGGAUUAGAUACCCUGGUAGUCCACGCUGUAAACGCUGUCGAUUUGGGGAUUG